GAUGAACGCGGCGGCGUGCCUAAUACAUGCAAGUCGAGCGAGAAGCUUGGAAAUGACGCUUCGGUUGAUUUUCCAAGCGGACAGCGGCGGACGGGUGAGUAACGCGUAGGCAACCUGCCCCUGACAGAGGGAUAGCCAUUGGAAACGAUGAUUAAAACCUCAUGACACCGUAGUAGCACAUGCUACAUCGGUCAAAGAUUUAUCGGUCAGGGAUGGGCCUGCGUCUGAUUAACUGGUUGGUGAGGUAACGGCUCACCAAGGUGACGAUCAGUAGCCGACCUGAGAGGGUGAUCGGCCACAUUGGAACUGAGACACGGUCCAAACUUCUACGGAAGGCAGCAGUAGGGAAUCUUGCACAAUGGGCGAAAGCCUGAUGCAGCAACGCCGCGUGAAGGAUGAAGGCCUUCGGGUUGUAAACUUUCUGUUUCUAAAGGGAAAGAAAAGAAAUGAACGGUA
rnacentral:rRNA from 1 species